UACGGGGGGAGCAAGCGUUGUUCGGAUUUACUGGGCGUAAAGGGCGCGUAGGCGGCCACCGCAAGUCGACUGUGAAAUCUCUGAGCUUAACUCAGAACGGCCAAGUGAUACUGCAGUGCUAGAGUGCAGAAGGGGCAAUCGGAAUUCUUGGUGUAGCGGUGAAAUGCGUAGAUAUCAAGAGGAACACCUGAGGUGAAGACGGGUUGCUGGGCUGACACUGACGCUGAGGCGCGAAAGCCAGGGGAGCAAACGGG
rnacentral:rRNA from 1 species